CGGACGGUGAGUACGCGUAGGAAACCUGCCGUAUACUGGGGGAUAACACUUAGAAAUAGGUGCUAAUACCGCAUAAGCGCACAGCUUCGCAUGAAGCGGUGUGAAAAACUCUGGUGGUAUACGAUGGUUCCGCGUCUGAUUAGCUAGUUGGUGGGGUAAUGGCCUACCAAGGCAACGAUCAGUAGCCGGCCUGAGAGGGUGAACGGCCACAUUGGGACUGAGACACGGCCCAAACUCCUACGGAAGGCAGCAG
rnacentral:rRNA from 1 species